rnacentral:rRNA from 1 species
UUGACCUCAAAUCAAGCAAGAUUACCCGCUGAACUUAAGCAUAUCAAUAAGCGGAGGAAAAGAAACUAACAAGGAUUCCCCUAGUAACUGCGA